rnacentral:rRNA from 1 species
UGGAUCCAGACUUUGAUUUGGCUCAGGACGAACGCUGGCGGCGUGCUUAACACAUGCAAGUCGAACGGAGAACUUAUUUCGGUAAGUUCUUAGUGGCGAACGGGUGAGUAACGCGUGGGCAACCUGCCCUCCAGUUGGGGACAACAUUCCGAAAGGGAUGCUAAUACCGAAUGUGCUCCCUCCUCCGCAUGGAGGAGGGAGGAAAGAUGGCCUCUGCUUGCAAGCUAUCGCUGGAAGAUGGGCCCGCGUCUGAUUAGCUAGUUGGUGGGGUAACGGCUCACCAAGGCGAUGAUCAGUAGCCGGUCUGAGAGGAUGAACGGCCACAUUGGGACUGAGACACGGCCCAAACUCCUACGGGAGGCAGCAGUGGGGAAUCUUCCGCAAUGGACGAAAGUCUGACGGAGCAACGCCGCGUGAGUGAUGAAGGUCUUCGGAUUGUAAAACUCUGUUGUUAGGGACGAAAGCACCGUGUUCGAACAGGUCAUGGUGUUGACGGUACCUAACGAGGAAGCCACGGCUAACUACGUGCCAGCAGCCGCGGUAAUACGUAGGUGGCAAGCGUUGUCCGGAAUUAUUGGGCGUAAAGAGCAUGUAGGCGGGCUUUUAAGUCUGACGUGAAAAUGCGGGGCUUAACCCCGUAUGGCGUUGGAUACUGGAAGUCUUGAGUGCAGGAGAGGAAAGGGGAAUUCCCAGUGUAGCGGUGAAAUGCGUAGAUAUUGGGAGGAACACCAGUGGCGAAGGCGCCUUUCUGGACUGUGUCUGACGCUGAGAUGCGAAAGCCAGGGUAGCAAACGGGAUUAGAUACCCCGGUAGUCCUGGCCGUAAACGAUGGAUACUAGGUGUAGGAGGUAUCGACCCCUUCUGUGCCGGAGUUAACGCAAUAAGUAUCCCGCCUGGGGACUACGAUCGCAAGAUUGCAACUCAAAUGAAUUGACGGA